AACGUACGCUGGCGGCACGCCUAACACAUGCAAGUCGAACGAAGUAGCAAUACUUAGUGGCAGACGGGUGAGUAACAUGUAGGUAUCUGCCCUUUGGCCUGGAAUAACACGAGGAAACUUGUGCUAAUACCGGAUAAGUCUUUACGGAGAAAGCUUUAUGCACCAUUGGAUGAGCCUGCACUUGAUUAGUUUGUUGGUGGGGUAAUGGCCUACCAAGACUGUGAUCAAUAGCUGAUUUGAGAGGAUGAUCAGCCACAUUGGGACUGAGACACGGCCCAAACUCCUACGGGAGGCAGCAGUGGGGAAUCUUGCACAAUGGAGGAAACUCUGAUGCAGCGAUGCCGCGUGAGUGAAGAAGGCCCUUGGGUUGUAAAGCUCUUUCGUCGGGGAAGAAAAUGACUGUACCCGAAUAAGAAGGUCCGGCUAACUUCGUGCCAGCAGCCGCGGUAAUACGAAGGGACCUAGCGUAGUUCGGAAUUACUGGGCUUAAAGAGCUCGUAGGUGGUUGAAAAAGUUGGUGGUGAAAUCCCAGAGCUUAACUCUGGAACUGCCAUCAAAACUUUUCAGCUAGAGUAUGAUAGAGGAAAGCAGAAUUUCUAGUGUAGAGGUGAAAUUCGUAGAUAUUAGAAAGAAUACCAAUUGCGAAGGCAGCUUUCUGGAUCAUUACUGACACUGAGGAACGAAAGCAUGGGUAGCGAAGAGGAUUAGAUACCCUCGUAGUCCAUGCCGUAAACGAUGUGUGUUAGACGUUGGAAAUUUAUUUUCAGUGUCGCAGCGAAAGCGAUAAACACACCGCCUGGGGAGUACGACCGCAAGGUUAAAACUCAAAUGAAUUGACGGGGACCCGCACAAGUAGUGGAGCAUGUGGUUUAAUUCGAAGAUACGCGCAGAACCUUACCAACACUUGACAUGUUCGUCGCGACUCUAAGAGAUUAGAGUUUUCGGUUCGGCCGGACGAAACACAGGUGCUGCAUGGCUGUCGUCAGCUCGUGUCGUGAGAUGUUGGGUUAAGUCCCGCAACGAGCGCAACCCUCACUUUUAGUUGCCAUCAUUAAGUUGGGCACUCUGAAAGAACUGCCAGUGAUAAGCUGGAGGAAGGUGGGGAUGACGUCAAGUCCUCAUGGCCCUUACGUGUUGGGCUACACACGUGCUACAAUGGUAUCUACAACAGGAAGCAAGACUGCGAAGUUAAGCAAAUCCCUAAAAGAUACCUCAGUUCGGAUUGCACUCUGCAACUCGAGUGCAUGAAGCUGGAAUUACUAGUAAUCGUGGAUCAGCGUGCCACGGUGAAAUGCGUUCCCGGGUCU
rnacentral:rRNA from 1 species